rnacentral:rRNA from 1 species
CCUACGGGCGGCAGCAGUAGGGAAUCUUCCACAAUGGGCGAAAGCCUGAUGGAGCAACGCCGCGUGGGUGAAGAAGGUCUUCGGAUCGUAAAACCCUGUUGUUAGAGAAGAAAGUGCGUGAGAGUAACUGUUCACGUUUCGACGGUAUCUAACCAGAAAGCCACGGCUAACUACGUGCCAGCAGCCGCGGUAAUACGUAGGUGGCAAGCGUUAUCCGGAAUUGUUGGGCGUAAAGGGAACGCAGGCGGUCUUUUAAGUCUGAUGUGAAAGCCUUCGGCUUAACCGGAGUAGUGCAUUGGAAACUGGGAGACUUGAGUGAAGAAGAGGAGAGUGGAACUCCAUGUGUAGCGGUGAAAUGCGUAGAUAUAUGGAAGAACACCAGUGGCGAAAGCGGCUCUCUGGUCUGUAACUGACGCUGAGGUUCGAAAGCGUGGGUAGCAAACAGGAUUAGAUACCCGAGUAGUC